GUGGGGAAUUUUGGACAAUGGGCGAAAGCCUGAUCCAGCAAUGCCGCGUGUGUGAAGAAGGCCUUCGGGUUGUAAAGCACUUUUGGCAGGGAAGAAACAGUGCGUGCUAAUACCAUGCGCGAAUGACGGUACCUGCAGAAUAAGCACCGGCUAACUACGUGCCAGCAGCCGCGGUAAUACGUAGGGUGCAAGCGUUAAUCGGAAUUACUGGGCGUAAAGCGUGCGCAGGCGGCUUUGUAAGACGGAUGUGAAAGCCCCGGGCUCAACCUGGGAAGUGCAUGCGUGACUGCAAGGCUAGAGUGUGUCAGAGGGAGGUGGAAUUCCGCGUGUAGCAGUGAAAUGCGUAGAGAUGCGGAGGAACACCGAUGGCGAAGGCAGCCUCCUGGGAUAACACUGACGCUCAGGCACGAAAGCGUGGGGAGCAAACAGGAUUAGAAACCCUAGUAGUCC
rnacentral:rRNA from 1 species